rnacentral:lncRNA from 1 species
CAAGAAAAUGAAAGCUGUGCUGUGAGAAAACAGCUGUUUAGGAAGAUCCUUUUAAACAUAGAUGCCGGCAUACUGCUGGGAGCUUGGCUCUUUUUAAUGUUUUGCUACUGCCUUUUGAUUUAUUAUGUGUUCCGUUCUCCCCUGGCCCCCUGCCCACCAUUUCAAAAUGAAUGAAAGAGAUUAGCUGCGACAACAGCAUGGGGAAUGUGUGCACGAAAGAGUUCUCAGGCUUGCCACUUAAACAUGGAGUCAGAAAAGGUGUUCUUGGGGGAUGCAGGAGGAAAAGAUCUUCCUUAUUUGCUCAUUUUCAGGUUACUGUUUCAUAACCUCCUCCAAGCAAGGUGAGUUACAACCUUAGGCAUCCCUCUAACUUUAUGUCUCCCUCUGUCAUUAACCUUCCAUCUGGCUGAGCACUGCAAUACUGCAGCUGGGAAAAUCAUAUCAUUAGGUUGCAAAAGCAGUAAGUUCCUGCACUAGAGAGCCACGGGGUGGCUUCUGAAGCACUGGGUGAUUAAUAAUUAAUAUGUAAUUGUUGGAUAAUCUGUUUAGACAGUCCAAGUGUAGGAAAUAUAUUUUUUCUGGAGAAUGCUGCUACUAAAAUAAUAAAAUUUUAACAAGCCCCCUCUUGUUAUAACA